CUAACUUUACCUGCAACGCACACCUGCUUCAUUGCUGUUAAUUUUGAAAAAUUAACAGCAAUGAAACAGGUGUGCGUUGCAGGUAAAGUUAG